UGAUAGCUGGCUGCUAUGACAGCUAUAAUCACGUCUUAGUGUCAGUGUUACUUUAUAUCACUUCAAGACAGUAAGCCCGACAAUAGUCUGUUUAACCAGAUAAUUUUGUUUCUAUGUUGAUCAUGUUUGAGUUUCUUUGUCGACUUUUGUUUUAAGUGAGAGUUCCAAUGUUGUUUGGAGUGGAAGUGUUAAAUGCUUGUAGAAGUUCGUCCUUUCGCUUGAUGACCCUGUCUUAGAGAUGUACUAGAAGAGUAAGUCUGUUUAGGAGCAACAAGAUAAACAAAACCCAAGUUAAACAUAAACAAAAAAACAGAAGAGCUGGGAAGCCAACAUCUCAUCUGACCAUGAAGGAAAACUGAAAUAGUUCCAUAACCAGAAUGAAAAGUAGACAUGAGUGUGGUUUGCUAUGGCUUGUUUUGGAGGGAACGGACUGUACUCUACUAUCUGAUGGCCGCUCUCUGCCAACGCCUUCAACACCGAGAUGUGGUAGAUGUAGUGACUGCGGCCUGGGAAUGGUAGAACUGCAAGUAUCCUAGCAGACGACACAUAGCUGGCAUAGAGGACACACACUAGGACGACUAGGAAAUAGGCCUUCAUAGUAAGAACCUGGCGGAGCAUUAAUUUUUUAUAGAAUGUAUAGUACAAGUUCAAGUAGAAGGAAUCAUGUUUUUGACAUUUUUUUAUCUUUAACUAGAGUUUUUCUUAGCCUUAUAGUUUAUGUCAACUUCGUGGUAUUUUUCCAUUUCAUACCAUCACUUCUCUCAUAGUAUUAGCGCAUUAGGCUUUUUUCACAGUUUUGUUAAAGUUAAAAUUUAAAAAAGUCUAGCACUUUAACAUAAAAUAUCAGCAUGUUUUGUACCAGGCAUAUAUUCACGUGACACAACACGGUAAAAUCAAGUCUUGAAAUUUACCAUAUAAUGUAUAUUCAGAGUUCCAAUAUAAUAAAUUUAUCAAGAAUGUUCACUAUACAAAAUAAUUU